AUUGAACGCUGGCGGCAGGCCUAACACAUGCAAGUCGAGCGAGCGGCGGACGGGUGAGUAAUGUAUGGGGAUCUUCCCGAUAGAGGGGGAUAACUACUGGACACUGAGGCUAAUACCGCCUACUUUAGGCUGAAACGAUAUGGGAUUAGCGAGUAGGUGGGGUAAAGGCGUACCUAGGCGACGAUCUAUACCUGGUCUGAGAGGAUGAUCAGCCACACUGGAACUGAGACACGGCCCAGACUCCUACGGGAGGCAGCAGUGGGGAAUAUUGCACAAUGGGCGCAAGCCUGAUGCAGCCAUGCCGCGUGUAUGAAGAAGGCCUUAGGUUUGUAAAGUACUUUCAGUGGGGAGGCGUUACCAGCAGAAGAAGCACCGGCUAACUCCGUGCCAGCAACCGCGGUAAUAC
rnacentral:rRNA from 1 species